GUGCUCGCUCUGGCAGCACAUAUACUAAAAUUGGAACGAUACAGAGAAGAAUAAUGUGGCCCCGCACUAGGAUGACACACAAAUUCAUGAAGUGUUCCAUAUUUAU